UACGUAGGGUGCAAGCGUUAAUCGGAAUUACUGGGCGUAAAGCGUGCGCAGGCGGUUUUGUAAGUCUGUCGUGAAAUCCCCGGGCUCAACCUGAAUUGCGAUGGAGACUGCAAGGCUAGAAUCUGGCAGAGGGGGGUAGAAUUCCACGUGUAGCAGUGAAAUGCGUAGAGAUGUGGAGGAACACCGAUGGCGAAGGCAGCCCCCUGGGUCAAGAUUGACGCUCAUGCACGAAAGCGUGGGGAGCAAACAGG
rnacentral:rRNA from 1 species